rnacentral:rRNA from 1 species
AGCGGCGGACGGGUGAGUAACACGUGGGUAACCUGCCUCAUAGAGGGGGAUAGCCUCCCGAAAGGGAGAUUAAUACCGCAUAUACUCUCGGUAUCACAUGAUACUUAGAGGAAAGGAGCAAUCCGCUAUGAGAUGGACCCGCGGCGCAUUAGCUAGUUGGUGAGGUAACGGCUCACCAAGGCGACGAUGCGUAGCCGACCUGAGAGGGUGAUCGGCCACAUUGGAACUGAGACACGGUCCAGACUCCUACGGGAGGCAGCAGUGGGGAAUAUUGCACAAUGGGCGAAAGCCUGAUGCAGCAACGCCGCGUGAGUGAUGAAGGCCUUCGGGUUGUAAAGCUCUGUCUUUUGGGACGAUAAUGACGGUACCAAAGGAGGAAGCCACGGCUAACUACGUGCCAGCAGCCGCGGUAAUACGUAGGUGGCAAGCGUUGUCCGGAUUUACUGGGCGUAAAGGAUGCGUAGGUGGAUAUUUAAGUGGGAUGUGAAAUACCCGAGCUCAACUUGGGUGCUGCAUUCCAAACUGAAUAUCUAGAGUGCAGGAGAGGUAAGUGGAAUUCCUAGUGUAGCGGUGAAAUGCGUAGAGAUUAG